CAAUAGAGCGGGACCGGGAGGGUGGUGGGAGGAGCGGGGUGGGGAGUGUUGUCCUUGGACGGCGGGAUUCUCAGGCUGCCCUGAUUUGGGGAACGUAUUUGGACCCGGGGCUGUGGCUCCGUAAAGAGUGAUCAUUCAUUCAGCCAAGUCUAUAUUUCUUAAACUCAAUCUAGUAUUUAUCGAAGCUCAAUAGUAUCUACUUGCGAGGUCCUGGGAACACGUAAACACACAUCCUGACCUGGCAGGCUCAUCACUUUUGAGGAAGAUCCCACCGUGAAAGAAGGGAACAAUGGGGACGAUGCGGAGCUGGGCCCUGCGGGGCUCCUGGACACGAAGGUCUCUUUGUCCCCCAUUUCUUGUAGGCAAGACUCCAGCCUCCAUGACCUUCUUUUAAUCCCAAAGGUCAGAACAGUUGCUAAUCAAGGGAAGAGCAGCUAGGAAACCACCUGAGGCAAGAUCAAAGGGUCAUCAAGAAUUAGGAGACCUAACCAUCCAAGCCGCUGCACACUCUAACCUUGUCAGCAACCUCACCUUUUUGAAACUUUGCAGAAGAAGAAUGCAAGACUGUUACCAUCUUGAUCCUUCUCAGCAUAUGGGACCUUAGUUCCCAGACCAGAGAUAGAAGAAUGCCCCCUGCGCUGGAAGCAUGGAGUCUUAACCAGUGGACUGCCAGGGAAGUCCGGCAAUUGGUAUCUUUAACAGUAGUUAAGAACAAAAUUCUGGAGCCA